rnacentral:rRNA from 1 species
UAGACCGAUAGCGAACAAGUACCGUGAGGGAAAGAUGAAAAGCACUUUGGAAAGAGAGUUAAACAGUACGUGAAAUUGCUGAAAGGGAAACGCUUGAAGUCAGUCGCGUUUGCUAGAACUCAGCCAGACUAUUGCCUGGUGCAUUUUCUAGUAGACGGGCCAGCAUCACUUUUGGUUGCGGGAUAAAGGUCGCAGGAAUGUGGCACCUUCGGGUGUGUUAUAGCCUGUGAUUGUAUACCGUGGCUGGGAGUGAGGAUCUCAGCACGCCUUCUGGCGGGGCUUCGGCCACCUUCGUGCUUAGGAUGCUGGCGUAAUGGCUUUAAACGACCCGUCUUGAAACACGGACCAAGA